UACGUAGGGACCAAGCGUUGUUCGGAUUUACUGGGCGUAAAGGGCGCGUAGGCGGCGCGGUAAGUCACUUGUGAAAUCUCUGAGCUUAACUCAGAACGGCCAAGUGAUACUGCAGUGCUAGAGUGUGGAAGGGGCAAUCGGAAUUCUUGGUGUAGCGGUGAAAUGCGUAGAUAUCAAGAGGAACACCUGAGGUGAAGACGGGUUGCUGGGCCAACACUGACGCUGAUGCGCGAAAGCCAGGGGAGUAAACGGG
rnacentral:rRNA from 1 species